GAGUGUCAGUCAGAUCGCGGAUUCAUAUGCAGUUAUUCAUAUGUAGCGUUUAUGUGGAAGUGAAAGUCCGUGACAAAAUAUUACCUCAAGUACACCACUAUGUGAAAAUGGUCACUCUUGUGCAAUACAUGACCAAAUCUGAUGACUCCCAACUCCCCGACCAAAGUACUGCAGCAGUCAAUAACAUAUCCACAAGAGUUAAAUGGGGCACUUUCUAUAUGAGAGUUCAACUUUUCUGUCUUGAGAGAUUCACACCUUUCAGAUUCCCAACUUUAUGAUAUUGUUCAGAAUUUGGUUGGAGAAAAUUAGGAGAUUGGGGCAAAUGCUGUUCGGUCCAGGCUUGCAGCUAUAAAUAUUCGAGUGCCGCGAAGGAGACUUGGACUGUAUGGUUAGAAACCCAAGGACACUGAGACUGACAGACCCAGUUCCUGCUGCCAUGAAGCUCAUCACACCAUGAUCUACUGGCCUCCCAUCAUCCUGAUGCCCUGCCAAUGUCUGACCAGCAACCACCCGCUGCUUCCCUUUAUUUCUAAAUUUUUUUAUUCUUAAUAAAUCGUAUAGUAUAGUUUUUUAUUGGAUCGCGUAAUUCUGCUUAGUGACAACCAACCACUUAUUUUAACUUUUAAUUUAAAUGAUUUAAACCUUUAACAAUAAUUCCCAUACAUUUUAAGAAUAUAGAAGGCCUAUUCAACAUAUAGUAUAUAUUUUCUAGGAUCAGCUAGGUCUGGGUCUCUCUCAAGGGUUUUCUUUCUCCCAAUGACUUUUUCCCCUAUAAGGGUUGUUUUCCUAGGAGUUUUUUAAACCCCUUGGGGUCGGCUUACAUUAGCUUAACUUAAAGAGUUACAUUACAUUAUUACUCCGUUCACUAGUACGGUUUAAUCUGAGCCGCUGUACUUUGUUGUCCUAUAAUUUUUCUCUUGUUUUUAUUAAACAAGUAACCCAACUGGAGCUGCACGUAGAGCUUUGGCCCAAAGACUGCACCGAAGAACCUACCGUGUUGCAGGUCCCAACUCAUUGUGGCACAGUGAUGGAAAC